rnacentral:rRNA from 1 species
GACGAACGCUGGCGGCGUGCUUCAUACACGCAAGUCGAACGAUGAAGUUCCUUCGGGAAUGGAUUAGUGGCGAACGGGUGAGGAACACGUGAGAAACCUGCCUUUCAUUCUGGGAUAACACCGGGAAACCGGUGCUAAUACCGGAUACUCCGUCUUGGCGGCAUCGCCGAGCCGGGAAAAAAUUUUGAUGAAAGAUGGUCUCGCGGCCUAUCAGCUAGUUGGUGAGGUAAUGGCUCACCAAGGCGACGACGGGUAGCCGGCCUGAGAGGGCGACCGGCCACACUGGGACUGAGACACGGCCCAGACUCCUACGGGAGGCAGCAGUAGGGAAUAUUGGGCAAUGGGCGCAAGCCUGACCCAGCGACGCCGCGUGAGGGAUGAAGGUCUUCGGAUUGUAAACCUCUUUCAGUAGGGAAGAAGCGAAAGUGACGGUACCUAAAGAAGAAGCACCGGCUAACUAUGUGCCAGCCGCCGCAGUAACAC